rnacentral:snoRNA from 1 species
CCCACCACCGCCCCCGACCAGUUCUCUGUUGGCUGGAGCAGUCCAGCUGUGAGCUGAGAGUAAAGCCAGGUUAGGAAACAGGGCUGUUCGUCAUGUGGGUGACUCUGUGCCGAAAGCAUGGGAAGAGCC